GAUGAACGCUAGCUACAGGCUUAACACAUGCAAGUCGAGGGGAAACGACAUUGGAAGCUUGCUUCCUUUGGGCGUCGACCGGCGCACGGGUGAGUAACGCGUAUCCAACCUUCCCGCAAGUAAGGGAUAACCCGUAGAAAUGCGGCCUAAUACCUUAUGUUUUCCUUAGAGGGCAUCUGAUGAGGAACAAAGAUCCGUCGCUUGCGGAUGGGGAUGCGUCCGAUUAGCUUGACGGCGGGGUAACGGCCCACCGUGGCGACGAUCGGUAGGGGUUCUGAGAGGAAAGUCCCCCACAUUGGAACUGAGACACGGUCCAAACUCCUACGGGAGGCAGCAGUGAGGAAUAUUGGUCAAUGGGCGGAAGCCUGAACCAGCCAAGUAGCGUGCAGGACGACGGCCCUAUGGGUUGUAAACUGCUUUUAUGCGGGGAUAAAGUGGGCCACGCGUGGCCUUUUGCAGGUACCGCAUGAAUAAGGACCGGCUAAUUCCGUG
rnacentral:rRNA from 1 species